rnacentral:rRNA from 1 species
AAAUUGAAGAGUUUGAUCAUGGCUCAGAUUGAACGCUGGCGGCAGGCCUAACACAUGCAAGUCGAACGGUAACAGGAAGCGCUUGCUGCUUCGCUGACGAGUGGCGGACGGGUGAGUAAUGUCUGGGAAACUGCCUGAUGGAGGGGGAUAACUACUGGAAACGGUAGCUAAUACCGCAUAACGUCGCAAGACCAAAGAGGGGGACCUUCGGGCCUCUUGCCAUCGGAUGUGCCCAGAUGGGAUUAGCUUGUUGGUGGGGUAACGGCUCAC